GGAAUUGGUUUUUGUAACUUUAGACUGGUGAUAGUGGAAGGCAUGGUAUUAAAGUGAUCUUAGAGGACAUUGUAAAUAAAUUAUAUAAUGUGAGGCCAAGGGACCUAUAGCGUAAAAUUAUGCCUUAUUUAUUAUGUGUAAUAAUAUUUAGCAAACUGGGGUUAUUAACUAGUCCCCCUUUUCCUCCUCACUCUCUAUACUCUAUUGGGGUUGUUAUCAGACAGCCCUUUUAUUUUAAUAUAUAAAUUUGGAUUUCCUUUUUUUUCCCCCACUCAGUGGAAAGACUAUUAGCUAUCUUUUUGCUCUGAAUUUCUCUCUCUUGUAGUGCAAUUUCUUGCUUGGUGGAAAAUUGCACUCUUUUUCCCAAAAACUUAUCCAUGUCCUAGAUUUGAGUCAUAUCUCUUGUGCUAUGUGAUCUUCUUCAGUUAGUGGUAUCAAAACCUUUCAUGAUUGGCUGGCUACUAAUGUUUCCAAAUCUGGAUAACAUGGAUUCAAUGAAUUCUGUCGUGGUUAUAUGCUGAUGCCAUCAGGGGACCUAGUGACUUAUACACUCAUCUCUCCCUCUCUGAGGAGAUUGAGAUCCAUAUUACAUAGAACAUCAUCUAACAUCGUGCUUUCUGGUCACGUUGACUGCAUGUAGUUUCCUAAGAGGCUGCUACACCAGGCUUGUCCGAAUGCAUAUGCACAAGAGCCUGGACACAAUUGCAACUUUUAGAAACAAAGCCUUGAAGCAUGCAUGAAGAAUGAAUUCUUGGUUACCAUUUUGGAAGACCUAUAAAUAUUUAUGCUUUUAAUGUGCAGGUGUAUUUCUAUGAACUCUCACUUUAUAUAUAACAUGCUUGAGGCAUUUGAACCUCCCCUGGAUAUGAGCCAAGACAUGGAUGGUUGUGAGGACUCACACCAUGAACAUGCCCUGAAUGAUCAUCUCUUCUCUAGUGAGGGGAAUUGCUGCCCCAGUCAGUCUGCCUCAACGACUGGAAUGUGUUGUUCCAAACCUGGUGGAGCCUGUUGUGGACAAGGGAACAAUACAAUAUGCAGGUCAUCAGAUAGGGUGACUACUGAUG
rnacentral:misc_RNA from 1 species